AUAUUCGGCUCACAGUUGCAUUUUUGAGCGUUCAAUGCAAACCUAGCUUCCUCCCCUUCCGACUCCGGGAAACCACCACCACAAGGCACCAGCAGUUCAGCAAUGGCGGCAGCAGGCGUCCUGCCACCACUCGCAGACCCACCGCCGCCACCAGCCACAGCUCCCACCUCCGACCCUCAACGCCGACAACGCGCCCCGGCCCCGUCCCUCCGUGCGCUCUUCCUCCGCGCCGUGGACCCCUCCCGCCCCUCCUCAUGGUCUGCCGCCGUUGCCGACCUCCUCUCCUCCGGCGAUCCCGUUGCCGCGUUGGCCGCCUUCGCUGCCGCCCUCCGCGCCACCCCGGCAGCGCUCCGCCCGGCCCUUCCCCCGGCCCUACGUGCUGCCGCCGCCUCUAGUUCCCUCGCCGCCGGUCGCCAGCUCCACCUCCUCGCUCUCCGCUCGGGCCUCUUCCCCACCGACGCGUACUCCGCGUCUGCCCUCCUCCACAUGUACCACCAUUGCUCCAGUCCCCUGGACGCCCGCAGGGCGUUCGACGAAAUACCCGCCCCCAACCCCAUCAUUGUCACUGCCAUGGCGUCCGGCUGCGUGCGCAACAAUCUCGUCUGCCCCGCGCUUGCCAUCUUCCGCUCCAUGGUUGCCUCUGAUUCCGCAGGAGUGGUCGACGAGGCGGCCGCGGUGGUGGCGCUCUCCGCGUCGGCCCGUGUCCAGGACCACGGCAUUACUGGUGGCAUUCAUGGACUUGUUACGAAGAUUGGCUUGGACAGGUAUGCAGGGGUGGCUAACACGAUGCUAGAUGCUUAUGCCAAGGGCGGCAGUCGUGACCUAGGGGUUGCGAGGAAGCUAUUUGAAAUGAUGGAGAAGGAUGCGGUGUCCUGGAACACGAUGAUCGCGUUGUAUGCGCAGAAUGGGCUGUCAGCAGAGGCGCUUAGGUUGUAUAGCAAGAUGCUGAAUGUUGGUGGCGGCAUUAGGUGCAAUGCUGUGACGUUGUCGGCUGUGCUACUGGCUUGUGCUCAUGCUGGGGCAAUACAGAAUGGAAAGCGCAUUCAUAAUCAGGUGGUAAGAAUGGGGUUGGAGGGCAAUGUCUAUGUUGGGACUUCUGUAGUUGACAUGUACAGCAAGUGUGGAAGAGUUGAAAUGGCUAGGAAGGCCUUCCAAAAAAUUAAGGAAAAGAAUAUCCUUUCAUGGUCUGCCAUGAUUGCUGGCUAUGGCAUGCAUGGUCAUGGGCAAGAAGCCCUUGAGGUUUUCAGUGACAUGAGGAGUUCAGGUCUAAAGCCUAACUACAUAACCUUUAUCUCAGUUUUAGCUGCUUGCAGUCAUGCUGGCCUUUUGAAUGAGGGCCGUUAUUGGUACAACGCCAUGAAAAAUGAAUUUGGAAUUGAACCUGGCGUAGAGCACUAUGGAUGCAUAGUGGAUCUUCUUGGCCGUGCCGGUUGUCUUAAUGAGGCUUAUGGCCUUAUUAAAGAAAUGAAGGUCAAACCUGAUGCUGCUAUGUGGGGAGCUCUUCUUAGUUCAUGCCGUAUCCACAAAAAUGUUGAGCUUGCAGAAAUUUCUGCUAAAAGAUUGUUUGAGUUGGAUGCAACUAAUUCUGGCUAUUAUGUUCUGUUGUCAAAUAUAUAUGCAGAAGCUGGAAUGUGGAAAGAUGUGGAAAGAAUGAGAGUCAUGGUUAAAACAAGAGGGAUAGAAAAGCCUCCGGGGUAUAGCUCAGUUGAGCUGAAAGGUAUAACCCAUUUGUUUUAUGUUGGAGACAAGAGUCAUCCUCAGCACAAGGAGAUCUAUGCUUAUUUGGAGAAGCUGCUUGAGAGAAUGCAAGAAGCAGGCUACAUACCAAACACGGGUUCUGUUCUUCAUGAUUUGGAUGAAGAAGAGAAAGAGUCCAUGUUGCGCAUCCAUAGUGAAAAACUUGCUGUUGCUUUUGCGCUAAUGAAUUCUGUACAGGGAUCAAUAAUCCAUGUCAUUAAAAAUCUCCGUGUCUGCACUGAUUGCCAUACAGCAAUUAAGAUUAUUACAAAGCUUACAGGACGAGAGAUUGUUAUUAGAGAUAUACAGCGCUUCCAUCAUUUCAAGGAUGGAUCAUGCUCAUGUGGGGAUUAUUGGUGACAUCAUACAAUGGGGACAUAGGUCGUGAUACCAUAUUUGUUGUCAUCAGAAUAUCAGAUAUUGAGAUUGUUGUUUAUGAGACUCUGAGUAAAUUUGUCCAAGAUCCCAUACAAAAGUGAUAAACUUAUACCUUUUCAUUCGUAUUUGGAUGAAAGCGCCUGAACUGCUUUGCUGGCUACGGCAGUAGUCCAAUUUAUAUGUGCUGAAAAUGAAGGUGAGUAUCAUUUUUGGAGGCUUUCUAUAGUCCUGCGUAGAACAUUUGCACCUUCAUGUGCAAGACAUGAAUUGCCAUCACCAUACGAAGGGCUUGUAUCAUAAAGGUUCUUCCUUGACCAUUCAUAGCUAUAUUUUAUCAGGAUCAGUACUGUUCUUGUACCUGUUAGACUACAUAGCGUGGUUUAAUCUUUGCAUGUGAUGAGAAGCACUGCUGGAAACUUCAGAAGCUUGAACUUCUCCAUCCUAUAAUUGUACCCCAGAGAGGCAAACGUGGGCAUGAUCCAUGUAGUUCUUAUUCUCUUAAUAUUUUAGGGCAACAAGGAUGUUCUGUAACAUUAUAAAAGGGACAUGCAUGGUGGCACAUGAGGCGAACAGAUCAACUGGAUGGCAUAGCACACCGAGGGCACGAUCUGAUGUGGUUCCACCCAUUCCCAAAUCAGCAAUUGACUCCCCGGCAGCUGUGGCCCUCCCAUUUCUCAAAUCAUCAACGAGUCCUCUGAUCUGAUAGAAAUAAUCCAGCAAAGAAAACAUGGGACAUGGCACAAAUGGAAGAAGCAAUAGAAGCAGCCUCAGAAUUUCCCUAAUCUGUUCAAUUGGCCAAUGUAUGUGGCAGUCGGAUAGGGUUUGCUUUUUGAGGACCAGUGGUGAAGCUUUUGGUGCAGCUUGCACUUUGAUUCAUGUACCUGAGUAUGCGCAUGAUCCUGACUUCAACGAAGGGAGGAUAGAACAAGACUCGCAAGCAUGCAGAGGUGACAGAGGAUGGUGAUCUACAGUGGUUCUACGCUGGCAGGAUGGUUUAUUGCCCAUAUGAGGCAGGAACCGGUGCAUUCGUCCAGCGCUUCAACACAGUGCGGGUGGUGGUGAAGUAGCUUGCAGAAUCAUGAAGCUUAAGGAUACCAAUGAAUGAUUCAGGAAGAGUGUUGCAGAACUGGAGAAGGAUUGGAUUUUUCUACACCCAAAGAAGAUCCUUGGUGAAAAGAGGAAAUUAAAUGCAGUAGAGAAAAGGAGUACAUCAAGCAUGUGUAGAAAUGGAGUUUCUGCAGGUAGAAGAGGACGACGGUGGUGGUAUGGGCAACUGUGAUGCAGGUGCUGAUGCUCCUGCUGUCAGUUGCUGCUGCCAAUAACUGAGUACCUGUUGCAGCCUAGGUACCACUUAAGCACUCUCUUUAACUGCUAUAUGGAAUGAUGGAGAUAAGGGGUGCAAAUUAAUUAAGCUAAGGGUACCUAACGAUCUUUUUUUAGUUCAACUAAUAACACUAUUUUUCUCAAAUAAAGUAAUGUUUUAGAAAACUAGUGUUAUUGCUUGAACUAAAGAGGAUUAGUGGGUAUCAUUAGGUUAAUUAAUUUGCACCCCUUAUGGAGAUGUACAUUUUGGCAUCAUGUAUGAUCCUGGGAUAUGGUAUAUAUUGUUUCUACUUCUGUGAUGUGUUUAGUGAUUAUUAGCCAGAAUGCGACAUAUGUAAAUCUUGGGUUGAAGUGGUAAAUCUGGAACGUUGAAGAGCUUACACACACACACAAGUU